UGAGCAGAACCCCAGCCAUCCCAAGAAUCUGGCUGCUUUGCAUCUGAAUUAUCUCCCUGGGAAACUGGAGCAGCAGAACCCCAGCCAUCCCAAGAAUCUGGCUGCUUUGCAUCCGAGUUAUCAGGUCCCUGGGAAACUGGAGCAGCAGAACCCCAGCCAUCCCAAGAAUCUGGCUGCUUUGCAUCCGAGUUAUCAGGUCCCUGGGAAACUGGAGCAGCACCCCACGCAUUAUCUGAUGGUGAAGCAGACACAUUACCCCAGGACUCCUGCUGUGCAGUAUAAGUCUGAGCCUUCGCUGCCACACUCCCCCAGGAACCAUUC
rnacentral:lncRNA from 1 species